rnacentral:snRNA from 1 species
AUACUCUGGUUUCUCUUCAGAUCGUAUAAAUCUUUUACCUUUUACUAAAGAUUUCCAUGGAGAGGAACAAUUCUGAGUCUUCUACCAAUUUUUUGAGGGCUUGCUCCAGCAAGGCU